GAUACCGUAAAAACCAAAUAAGUCCAACCAAGUCAAAAACAAAACCGUGUGAACAUAGAGGAAACAGAUUUGGGAGAAAUGGGGCUCUGCCUAUCUUGCUUCGACUGCUCCGACGGUGGCAGCGAGCGACGGAAACAGGAAGAAUUGGCCUCCGCCGAAGCGCGUACCAAAGCCGCCGAAGCUGCCCAGAAACGGCAAGAGGAAUUUGAAAAAUCUGCUGCAGGUAGAGCUGCCCGUGCACAGCUACAGGGGAUGGCAAAACAAUCUGCAAAUUCUAAUAAAGGCGAACCAGUUCUAAAGUGGCAGAUGGGUUGAUGUUGAGCUUGUUUUUUGUGCAUCUGUAGAUUCUAUUGUAAGAGCCCAGUAAUAACGGAUGCAAGAACCCUGGAAGAGAAGAGGAAGAAGAAAAAAGGAAGGAAGAAACAGGAGGCGAGUUAUCAAUGGAGCAGAUAUUUGAGAGCCAUGGGGUUCCAUCAUGGAGGGAGCAGCUGACAUGGAGGGCUUUUGGGGUGAGCUUUGUUUUGAGCAUGUUGUUCAGUUUUAUAUUGAUGAAGCUCAACCUGACAACAGGGAUUAUCCCUUCCCUCAACGUUUCUGCUGGUCUCUUAGGAUUCUUCUUUGUAAGGACUUGGACUAAGAUCCUUGAGAAAUCUGGCCUCCUGAAGUAGCCCUUAACCUGGCAAGAAAAUACUGUGAUUCAAACAUGCGUUGUUGCCUCCUCUGGAAUUGCCUGUAGCGGUAUUACUCAUCUUCUUUUUCUUCUUUCUCUAACUCACAUCAGAAUCUGAAGCUCUGUACUUUGAUUAUUUUGUUUAUAUAGGAGGCUUCGGGAGUUACCUCUUUGGAAUGAGUAAACUCGUUGCCAAACAAGCAGCAGAAGAUAAUGAGACAGAUACUAAAGACCCUGCUUUAGGAUGGAUUAUUGCCUUUCUUUUUGUUGUUAGCGUUUUUGGCCUCUUUCUUCUCAGUGGUGCCUCUGCGGAAGACUUCAAACUGACAUACCCAAGUGGAACUGCAACAGCUCAUCUUAUAAAUAGCUUCCAUGCACCUGAAGGAGCCAAGCUAGCAAAGAAACAAGUACGAGAGCUAGGCAAGUUCUUCUCCUUCAACUUCUUAUGGUCUUUCUUCCAAUGGUUCUUCAAAACCGAAGAUUAUUGUGGAUUUUCUAACUUUCCUACAUUUGGGCUCAAAGCUAGAGACAACAUGCACGUUCUUUACUCAUCCAUGAUCUUCAACUUUCGAGGAAUUUUGUUUUGAUUAAGCACACCCCGUGAAUGUUUUAGGCUAAUUAUCCACCUUUAUGUCCGCAGGUUUUAUUCGAUUUCUCAGCAACCUAUGUAGGAGUAGGUAUGAUUUGCCCAUACAUCAUAAACACAUCAGUGCUACUUGGACGAAUUAUUUCUUGGGGUUUAAUGUGGCCUCUACUAGAUACUAGAAAGGGACAUUGGUAUCCUGCAGAACUGAGCCUCAAAAGUUUACAUGGUCUCCAAGGUUACAGGUUGUUUAUUGCUAUUGCAACGAUUCUUGGUGAUGGUCUAUACAACUUCUGCAAGGUGCUAAGCCAAACCCUCCCAAGUUUGUAUUAUCAAUUCCAUGCCGAAGGCAACAGAACUGAUCUUUCAUUUGCAGACAGUCCCUUUCCAAAGAUCAAGAAGCUCUCUUUUGACGAACAGCGCCGCACUCAACUCUUUCUCAAAGAUGAAAUCCCAACAUGGUUUGCUGUUACAGGUUAUGUCACCAUUGCUGCCAUCUCUACAACCAUUCUUCCUCACAUAUUUACCCAGCUCAAAUGGUACUACAUAAUAGUUAUCUACCUCUUUGCACCAAUAUUAGCUUUCUGUAAUGCAUACGGGUGUGGGCUAACAGAUUGGUCCCUUGCAUCCACGUAUGGAAAACUUGCUAUUUUCACAAUUGGGGCGUGGGCUGGUACGUCGCACGGCGGAGCCCUAGCUGGUUUAGCAGCAUGUGGAGUCAUGAUGAACAUCGUCUCCACAGCCUCCGACCUCAUGCAAGAUUUCAAGACUGGCUAUCUAACCCUGGCUUCGCCCAGGUCCAUGUUUGUGAGCCAAGCGAUUGGCACAGCAAUGGGUUGUGUAAUUUCCCCUUCCAUCUUUCGGCUAUUCUACAAGGCCUUUCAUGACCUUGAGCUUCCAGAUAGUGAAUAUCCUGUCCCCUAUGCUGUUGUGUACCGUAAUAUGGCUAUUCUGGGUGUAGAAGGCUUCUCGUCUCUACCAAAGAAUUGCCUUUUGCUUUGUUACUGCUUCUUUGGUGCUGCAGUUCUAGUAAAUUUAAUUAAGGGUAGGCUGGGUAAGACGAGGGGAAGUUUUGUUCCACAUCCAAUGGCAAUGGCCAUACCUUUCUAUUGAGGGCCAUAUUUUGCGAUUGAUAUGUGUGUUGGAUGCUUUAUUUUGUUCAUAUGGGAAAAGAUCAACAAGACCAAGGCAGAUGCUUUUGCACCAGCUGUAGCUUCUGGUUUAAUUUGUGGAGAUGGGAUAUGGGUUUUGCCUAGUUCAAUCCUGGCUCUUGCAGGGGUUAAUGCUCCCAUUUGUAUGAGAUUUUUGUCCAGGGCUACAAAUGGUAGGAUUGAUAAGAUGAUAGGACCUCAGUGAUGAAGGUUAGCUUAAUCAUAUUAAUAUAAUUUUCUUGCAAAAUACUUUUCAUUGUUUUUGCUUCCUUUUCAUAUUGUUUUAGGGUUUUCUGCUUGUGCUACGAUGAAUAUUUUACAUCUUAUUGCUCGAUAUAUAAAUUAAGAGCAAAAGAAAAAUAAAAAAACAAGUACUUCUUUCUGUC